UGAUAGUUUGCUAUAGGUGUUUUCACCAGCC
rnacentral:piRNA from 1 species